rnacentral:rRNA from 1 species
AAAAGCAGCUGCUCAACAGCUGUUGGCGCCGAAUACUAUCCAUCUAGAAUACGGUAGAAAGUUUUGGAAUUGAAUAUGGAGCGGUGGAAUGUGUAGAUAUAUUCAAGAACACCAGAGGCGAAGGCGAAAACUUAGGCCGUUAUUGACGCUUAGGCUUGAAAGUGUGGGGAGCAAAUGGGAUUAGAUACCCCAGUAGUCCACACCGUAAACGAUGGGUAUUAAGUCUUGGGGCUAGUGCCUCAGGGUUGUAGCUUACGUGUUAAAUACCCCGCCUGGGUAGUACAUAUGCAAAUAUGAAACUCAAAGGAAUUGACGGGGACCUGAACAAGUGGUGGAACAUGUUGCUUAAUUCGAUAAUACACGAAAAACCUUACCAAGAUUUGACAUCCCCCGCAAAGCUUUAGAAAUAAAGUGGAGGUUACCGGGGUGACAGGUGGUGCAUGGUUGUCGUCAGCUCGUGUCAUGAGAUGUUGGGUUAAGUCCCGCAACGAGCGCAACCCUACUCUCUAGUUAAUUGUUUAGAGAGACUGAACAGUAAUGUAUAGGAAGGUCGGGAUCACGUCAAAUCAUCAUGCCCCUUAUGUCUUG